rnacentral:rRNA from 1 species
CAGCAGCCGCGGGAAUACGGAGGAUGCGAGCGUUAUUCGGAAUCAUUGGGUUUAAAGGGUCUGUAGGCGGGCUAUUAAGUCAGGGGUGAAAUAUUUCAGCUUAACUGGGAAAUUGCCUUUGAUACUGGUAGUCUUGAAUAUUUGUGAAGUUUUUGGAAUGUGUAGUGUAGCGGUGAAAUGCAUAGAUAUUACACAGAACACCGAUUGCGGAGGCAGGGGACUAACAAAUAAUUGACGCUGAGAGACGAGAGCGUGGGGAGCGAACAGGAUUAGAUACCCCCGUAGUCCCUGUCUCUUAUAC